UAUAUGAAAUCUACGUCCACGUCGGGCGCGCUUUCCAGCGUCAUAACGACUCAUUAUCGAUGCGUUGUAUCCAGUUGCAUAUUCAUUAGUGAUAUGUACAAUACAAUAAGGAUGAUACGCGAAGCUCUUACAGUAUGGAUCAAUUCCGCCGAUGUGAACGAUCAUCAGAGGAGAGAAUGGAAGUGCAAAUUCGACUGUUUUCCGACUUUAUUCUAUGAGAGUCAGACAUUAUUUUCACCUU